ACGGAGGAUGCAAGCGUUAUCCGGAUUUAUUGGGUUUAAAGGGUGCGCAGGUGGUUUUAUAAGUCAGAGGUUAAAGUUUGUGGCUCAACGCUAGGAUUGCCAUUGAUACUGUAGGACUUGAGUAUGGAUGAGGUAGGCGGAAUUCGUAGUGUAGCGGUGAAAUGCGUAGAUAUUGCGCAGAACGCCGAUUGCGAAGGCAGCUUACUGGUCUAUAACUGACGCUGAGGCGCGAAAGCUUGGGGAUCAAACAG
rnacentral:rRNA from 1 species